rnacentral:rRNA from 1 species
GACGAACGCUGGCGGCGUGCUUAACACAUGCAAGUCGAACGGAAAGGCCCUGCUUUUGUGGGGUGCUCGAGUGGCGAACGGGUGAGUAACACGUGAGUAACCUGCCCUUGACUUUGGGAUAACUUCAGGAAACUGGGGCUAAUACCGGAUAGGAGCUCCUGCUGCAUGGUGGGGGUUGGUAAGUUUCGGCGGUUGGGGAUGGACUCGCGGCUUAUCAGCUUGUUGGUGGGGUAGUGGCUUACCAAGGCUUUGACGGGUAGCCGGCCUGAGAGGGUGACCGGCCACAUUGGGACUGAGAUACGGCCCAGACUCCUACGGGAGGCAGCAGUGGGGAAUAUUGCACAAUGGGCGGAAGCCUGAUGCAGCAACGCCGCGUGCGGGAUGACGGCCUUCGGGUUGUAAACCGCUUUCGCCUGUGACGAAGCGUGAGUGGCGGUAAUGGGUAAAGAAGCACCGGCUAACUACGUG